rnacentral:tRNA from 1 species
UGCUCCGAUAGUAUAAACCAUUACUCUGGUCUUGUAAACCAGAAAUGAAGAAAUAAUCUUCUCAGAGCAUC